rnacentral:rRNA from 1 species
AACGAACGCUGGCGGCAUGCCUAACACAUGCAAGUCGAACGAAGGCUUCGGCCUUAGUGGCGCACGGGUGCGUAACGCGUGGGAAUCUGCCCUUAGGUUCGGAAUAACAGCUGGAAACGGCUGCUAAUACCGGAUGAUAUCGCGAGAUCAAAGAUUUAUCGCCUGAGGAUGAGCCCGCGUUGGAUUAGGUAGUUGGUGGGGUAAAGGCCUACCAAGCCGACGAUCCAUAGCUGGUCUGAGAGGAUGAUCAGCCACACUGGGACUGAGACACGGCCCAGACUCCUACGGGAGGAAGCAGUGGGGAAUAUUGGACAAUGGGCGCAAGCCUGAUCCAGCAAUGCCGCGUGAGUGAUGAAGGCCCUAGGGUUGUAAAGCUCUUUUACCCGGGAAGAUAAUGACUGUACCGGGAGAAAAAGCCCCGGCUAACUCCGUGCCAGCCGCCGCCGUAA